rnacentral:rRNA from 1 species
AGAGUUUGAUCAUGGCUCAGAUUGAACGCUGGCGGCAUGCCUAACACAUGCAAGUCGAACGGGUUGUACUUCGGUACAGCUAGUGGCGGACGGGUGAGUAACACAUAGGAAUCUGCCCGAGAGUGGGGGAUAACCCAGGGAAACUUGGAUUAAUACCGCAUGAUCUCUACGGAGCAAAGCUGGGGACCUUCGGGCCUGGCGCUUUUGGAGGAGCCUAUGUCUGAUUAGCUUGUUGGUGAGGUAACGGCUCACCAAGGCGACGAUCAGUAACUGGUCUGAGAGGACGACCAGUCACACCGGAACUGAGACACGGUCCGGACUCCUACGGGAGGCAGCAGUGGGGAAUAUUGGACAAUGGGCGAAAGCCUGAUCCAGCAAUGCCGCGUGUGUGAAGAAGGCCUUCGGGUUGUAAAGCACUUUAGGAUGGAAAGAAAAAACUUCAGUUAAUAGCUGAAGCCUUGACGGUACCAUCAGAAUAAGCACCGGCUAACUCUGUGCCAGCAGCCGCGGUAAUACAGAGGGUGCAAGCGUUAAUCGGAUUUACUGGGCGUAAAGCGUGUGUAGGUGGUGGCGUAAGUCGAUUGUGAAAUCCCCGGGCUCAACCUGGGAACUGCUUUCGAUACUGCGUCACUAGAGUACGGUAGAGGGUGGGUGGAAUUUCCGGUGUAGCGGUGAAAUGCGUAGAUAUCGGAAGGAACAUCAAUGGCGAAGGCAACCACCUGGGCCUGUACUGACACUGAGACACGAAAGCGUGGGGAUCAAACAGGAUUAGAUACCCGGGUAGUCCACGCCGUAAACGAUGACAACUUGACGUUGGUUUGCUUAGCGAAUCAGUGUCGUAGCUAACGCGAUAAGUUGUCCGCCUGGGGAGUACGGCCGCAAGGUUGAAACUCAAAGGAAUUGACGG